GACGAACGCUGGCGGCGUGCUUAACACAUGCAAGUCGAACGGUAAGGCCCUUCGGGGUACACGAGUGGCGAACGGGUAAGUAACACGUGGGUGAUCUGCCCUGCACUUCGGGAUAAGCCUGGGAAACUGGGUCUAAUACCGGAUAGGACCACUGCCUGCAUGGGUGGUGGCGGAAAGCUUUUGCGGUGUGGGAUGGGCCCGCGGCCUAUCAGCUUGUUGGUGGGGUGAUGGCCUACCAAGGCGACGACGGGUAGCCGGCCUGAGAGGGUGACCGGCCACACUGGGACUGAGAUACGGCCCAGACUCCUACGGGAGGCAGAAGUGGGGAAUAUUGCACAAUGGGCGCAAGCCUGAUGCAGCGACGCCGCGUGAGGGAUGACGGCCUUCGGGUUGUAAACCUCUUUCAGCACCGACGAAGCGCAAGUGACGGUAGGUGUAGAAGAAGGACCGGCCAACUACGUGCCAGCAGCCGCGGUAA
rnacentral:rRNA from 1 species